rnacentral:rRNA from 1 species
AACGAACGCUGGCGGCAGGCCUAACACAUGCAAGUCGAGCGAGGACUUCGGUCCUAGCGGCGGACGGGUGAGUAACGCGUGGGAACGUGCCCUUUGCUUCGGAAUAGCCCUGGGAAACUUGGAGUAAUACCGGAUGAGCCCUUUGGGGGUAAGAUUUAUCGGCGAAGGAUCGGCCCGCGUUGGAUUCGGUAGUUGGUGGGGUAAUGGCCUACCAAGCCGACGAUCCAGAGCUGGUUUGUGAGGAUGCUCAGCCACACUGGGACUGAGACACGGCCCAGACUCCUACGGGAGGCAGCAGUGGGGAAUCUUAGACAAGGGGGGAAACCCUGAUCUAGCCAUGCCGCGUGAGCGAUGAAGGCCUUAGGGUUGUAAAGCUCUUUCAGCUGGGAAGAUAAUGACGUUACCAGCAGAAGAAGCCCCGGCUAACUCCGUG